ACAUUCCUUAAGAUUUUGUUUUUUAAUGAAAAAAUGGAGAUGUGUCAUAUUACAGGCUUGCCCUAUAAUCCACAAGGCCAUGGCCGACGAAAAGCCCAAGGAAGGAGUCAAGACUGAGAACAACGAUCAUAUUAAUUUGAAGGUGGCGGGGCAGGAUGGUUCUGUGGUGAUGAU